rnacentral:lncRNA from 1 species
GACAGAUGAAAACCCAGGGAGGAGAUUCUAUGGAUGUGGGAGAUAUUUUUAGAGGAGGAAAUGCAAGUUUUUUAGGUGGUUUGAUCCAGAAGUCCCAGAUCGACAGAAGAAAAUCAUCAGAGGAUUGCUGAAACUCAUGUGAGUAUCAUUGUCAUUUUAGGGGUAUUGUUGUUGCUAAGUUUUGGUGUAAUGUGCAUUAAGUUUGCUAACUGAUAUGAUAUUAGAGGGAUUAGGUGUGAUGUGUUUAAUUAUGGUAACCUUGUAAUGGUAUGAAA